rnacentral:rRNA from 1 species
UCUCUUGAGAGCGGCGGACGGGUGAGUAAUGCCUAGGAAUCUGCCUAGUGGUGGGGGAUAACGUUCGGAAACGGACGCUAAUACCGCAUACGUCCUACGGGAGAAAGCGGGGGACCUUCGGGCCUCGCGCCAUUAGAUGAGCCUAGGUCGGAUUAGCUAGUUGGUGAGGUAACGGCUCACCAAGGCGACGAUCCGUAACUGGUCUGAGAGGAUGAUCAGUCACACUGGAACUGAGACACGGUCCAGACUCCUACGGGAGGCAGCAGUGGGGAAUAUUGGACAAUGGGCGAAAGCCUGAUCCAGCCAUGCCGCGUGUGUGAAGAAGGUCUUCGGAUUGUAAAGCACUUUAAGUUGGGAGGAAGGGCAGUAACUUAAUACGUUGCUGUUUUGACGUUACCGACAGAAUAAGCACCGGCUAACUCUGUGCCAGCAGCCGCGGUAAUACAGAGGGUGCAAGCGUUAAUCGGAAUUACUGGGCGUAAAGCGCGCGUAGGUGGUUUGUUAAGUUGGAUGUGAAAGCCCCGGGCUCAACCUGGGAACUGCAUCCAAAACUGGCAAGCUAGAGUACAGUAGAGGGUGGUGGAAUUUCCUGUGUAGCGGUGAAAUGCGUAGAUAUAGGAAGGAACACCAGUGGCGAAGGCGACCACCUGGACUGAUACUGACACUGAGGUGCGAAAG